rnacentral:rRNA from 1 species
GGAAUCUUCCACAAUGGACGAAAGUCUGAUGGAGCAACGCCGCGUGAGUGAAGAAGGGUUUCGGCUCGUAAAACUCUGUUGUUAAAGAAGAACAUAUCUGAGAGUAACUGUUCAGGUAUUGACAGUAUUUAACCAGAAAGCCACGGCUAACUACGUGUCAG